rnacentral:lncRNA from 1 species
CUCAACUCGUUCCUGGGAUUCAUCCAUCUUAAUCAAUGAGUCCAACACACACAUUACACACAAUACAAACACACUACACAUACACUACACACACUCUAUAUAUACGCUACACACUGCAAACACACUACACAUACACUACACACUCACUACACAACACACACAUACUACAAACACACUACACAUACGCUACACAGACAUUACACACUGCAAACACACUACACAUACACUACACACACUCUACACAUACGCUACACACUGCAAACACACUACACAUACACUACACGCUGAACAUACACUACACACUACACAACACACACACUCUACCAACACACUACACAUACACUACACACACUCUACACAUACGCUACACACUGCAAACACACUACACAUACACUACACACUGAACAUACACUACACACUACACAACACACACACUCUACAAACACACUACACAUACACUACACACUACUCUACACAUACGCUACACACUGCAAACACACUACACAUACACUACACACUCACUACACAACACACACAUACUACAAACACACUACACAUACGCUACACAGACAUUACACACUGCAAACACACUACACAUACACUACACACACUCUACACAUACGCUACACACUGCAAACACACUACACAUACACUACACGCUGAACAUACACUACACACUACACAACACACACACUCUACCAACACACUACACAUACACUACACACACUCUACACAUACGCUACACACUGCAAACACACUACACAUACACUACACACUGAACAUACACUACACACUACACAACACACACACUCUACAAACACACUACACAUACACUACACACUACUCUACACAUACGCUACACACUGCAAACACACUACACAUACACUACAAACUCACUACACAACACACACACACACUGCAAACACACUACACACACACUACACAAACACUACAUGUUACACACACACACACACUACACACUACAAACACACUACACAUGCUACACAUACACUACACACACACUGCAAACACACUACACAUACACUACACACUCACUACACAACACACACACACUACAAACACACUACACGUACGCUACACACUACACACACACUACACAUAC